AUUGAACGCUGGCGGCAUGCCUUACACAUGCAAGUCGAACGGCAGCACGGGUGCUUGCCCCUGGUGGCGAGUGGCGAACGGGUGAGUAAUACAUCGGAACAUGUCCUGUAGUGGGGGAUAGCCCGGCGAAAGCCGGAUUAAUACCGCAUACGAUCUACGGAUGAAAGCGGGGGACCUUCGGGCCUCGCGCUAUAGGGUUGGCCGAUAGCUGAUUAGCUAGUUGGUGGGGUAAAGGCCUGCCAAGGCGACGAUCAGUAGCUGGUCUGAGAGGACGACCAGCCACACUGGGACUGAGACACGGCCCAGACUCCUACGGGAGGCAGCAGUGGGGAAUUUUGGACAAUGGGCGAAAGCCUGAUCCAGCAAUGCCGCGUGUGUGAAGAAGGCCUUCGGGUUGUAAAGCACUUUUGUCCGGAAAGAAAUCCUUGGCUCUAAUACAGUCGGGGGAGGACGGUACCGGAAGAAUAAGCACCGGCUAACUACGU
rnacentral:rRNA from 1 species